AUGCUUCUACUUUCCAUAUGGAGCUGGGAGCGUCUUCAUGUUGGAUGCCUAAAGAGCGUCAAGUUUAAUCCUUGGGAUGAACAUGGCGAAUUACGGCGCCCCACUUGGGCUUACAAGUGGGAUGUGGUAUCUGAGAUGACGAACAAUGUCAAUCUCAUGUACCAAAAGUACAUUGCCGAGUUGGACACGAUUAAGCCUGAGCAGGUAAGAGGACAUUACUUCAGUCAUUUCUCAUGCUUGCCUAAAAAAUAG
rnacentral:rRNA from 1 species